rnacentral:rRNA from 1 species
UACGUAGGGACCGAGCGUUUGUCCGGAAUCAUUGGGCGUAAAGAGUGUGUAGGCGGUGCUCUAAGUUCGGUGUGAAAUCUCCUGGCUCAACUGGGAGGGUGCGCCGGAAACUGGAGUGCUUGAGCGUGGGAGAGGAAAGCGGAAUUCCACGUGUAGCGGUGAAAUGCGUAGAGAUGUGGAGGAACACCAGUGGCGAAGGCGGCUUUCUGGUCUGUAACCGACGCUGAGGCGCGAAAGCGUGGGGAGCAAACAGG